UGCAAGUCGAACGAGAAGUACGUAGCAAUACGUAUUGUAAAGUGGCGCACGGGUGAGUAACACGUGGGUAAUCUGCCCUUGAGUUUGGGAUAACCCCGCGAAAGCGGGGCUAAUACCGAAUAAGACCACGGGGACCAAAGUCCCUGAGGUAAAAGAUGGCCUCUAUUUAUAAGCUAUCACUUGAGGAUGAGCCCGCGGCCCAUUAGCUAGUUGGCAGGGUAACGGCCUACCAAGGCAAUGAUGGGUAGCUGGUCUGAGAGGACGAUCAGCCACACUGGAACUGAGACACGGUCCAGACUCCUACGGGAGGCAGCAGUGGGGAAUAUUGCGCAAUGGGCGAAAGCCUGACGCAGCAACGCCGCGUGGGGGAUGAAGGUUCUCGGAUUGUAAACCCCUUUCGAUCGGAACGAAUCCCCUCCUGGUAAAUAAUCAGGAGGAUCGACGGUACCGAGAGAAGAAGCCACGGCUAACUCUGCGCCAGCAGCCGCGGUAAGACAGAGGUGGCGAGCGUUGUUCGGAUUUAUUGGGCGUAAAGCGAACGCAGGUGGUUUGGUAAGUCGGGGGUGAAAGACCACAGCUUAACUGUGGCAUUGCCUUUGAUACUGCCUUUCUUGAGUAGAGUAGGGGGAAGCGGAAUUCCGAGUGUAGAGGUGAAAUUCGUAGAUAUUCGGAGGAACACCGGUGGCGAA
rnacentral:rRNA from 1 species